rnacentral:rRNA from 1 species
CCCUUAGAUGUCCUGGGCCGCACGCGCGCUACACUGACAUGUUCAACAAGCCUCCUAGUUCGACAGGAUUUGGGAAAUCUUUGAACGCAUGUCGCGAUAGGGAUAGAUCAUUGCAAUUAUUGAUCUUGAACGAGGAAUUCCUAGUAAACGCGAGUCAUCAGCUCGCAUUGAUUACGUCCCUGCCCUUUGUACACACCGCCCGUCGCACCUACCGAUUGAAUGUUUCGGUGAAGAUUCCGGAUAGGACUUUUUUGAUUUAUUUCAAUUUUGUCUUAAAAGCUAUCUAAACCUCAACAUUUAGAGGAAGGUGAAGUCGUAACA